rnacentral:lncRNA from 1 species
UUUGUGGUUGGAACUGGUGUCGGAAACUUUGAUCCCAAAAAGGAUCCAGCAAAAUAUAACCUGGUUGAUCCUGUAGAAAGAAAUACUGUAGGUGUUCCAACGGGUGGUUGGACUGCUAUUCGGUUCAGAGCUGAUAACCCAGGUACCUAGUUUACAACCAACUUUAGUUAAUGAACUUUUUCUAUAUAUUGUUUCUCAUUUAUUCUUAACAUAUCCAAUUUUUUGUGAAGGGGUCUGGUUUUUCCACUGUCAUCUGGAGUUGCACACAGGAUGGGGACUAAAAACAGCAUUUUUAGUGGAAAAUGGACCAGGAUCAGAUCAUAAUAUUCUGCCUCCACCCAAGGAUCUUCCACGCUGCUAAUUCACCAGGCUUUCGUUCUUAUCUGUACAGAUGGAUAUCUUGUGCAUCUUUACAAAAUUUGCUUCAUGUUCCAUAUGGAGGCAAAAGGCUUCGAGGAUCAUACACAUCUAAGAAAGGAGUUUCUAUCGAGAAAAUCAAAGAGAUUCGUUGUAGUUUGAGUUGUAAUAAAGGUCCACAAGAUUUUGGACUGUUGUUUUUAUGAACUUCCCUGAUUCAUUUAAUAUCUACUAGUUGCAUUGAAAUACGUAUGUCGAUACUUGCUUUUGACUUGAUAAGUUUAUCAACUACAGCAAACAUGAAUCAAUCUAAUUAAGCACCCGGAUCAUCUCCUAAAAUAUUUCAAUCAUCCAUAUAAGAUAAUGCCAAGAUGCCCACACAAAACCAAGAAAACACUUUGAAGUAACAGUCUAUACUUCAGGAAAACCAACAUCCUAGCUAUUUUGUUAAAAAACAUCAGAAGAAAAAGACAUUUUAAUUUCCUAAGGUGGCAUUUGAUGGGUUUGGGGUUUGAUUUAUGUUUGGUUUUGGGAGAAUUAGUUUUGACUUUGGAUUUUGAGAUAAUUUGCAUAUUUUGGAUUUGUUUUUAUAAAAUUGGUUUGUACACCUAUUGUGUCUGAAAAUAUCACUAAACGGAUUAAUAUUGGUGAAUAAGGUAAUUUAAAGCCAAGUAGACUGAACUAUUUACAACAAUAGUUUAAGAAAUGGUCAAAAUGCAAUUGGCAAAAAGUUGCAACAGUUCACAUGCAUGCUAUGAUGAAGAAAAAAUCCAUUAAGUUUGUAAACAAUGAACUAGGAGGCCAAAUCAAAAGCAGAUCAAGAUGAACCUUUCAAGAUCAAGACAAGGCCCUAAUCAUUCAUGUGGCGACCAAAGAGAAACCGGACUAUUGAUUAUGGAUUUUUGGUUACGAAGUAUAUAGAAGAGCUCAGAAUUAAUCCUAGCUGGGCAAUAAAGAAUUUCAAGCUCAUGUGAAAAGAACUCACAAGUGUACACUUGGUAUAUAUCAAUCUUACAGGGCAAAGAGGAUGGCACUACACGUGAUUAAAGGAACCAAAGAAGAACAAUUUAAUAUGUUGUGGGACCAUUGUGCGGAACUAUGAAGGAGUAAUCCAAGGACUACAUGUAUUUUGAAGCUGGAUGAUGGAUGAUUAUCCAAAAAUAAUUGUCAGAGGCAAGAAAAGAUUGUUUAGGCUCUAUUUUUGCUAUGCAGCAUGUAAACAAGGGUUCUUAGCUGGAUAUAGACCAAUUAUAGGGCUGAUGGUUGCCAUUUGAAAGGACAUCAAAUGCUUUUAGAUCUAUUUUUGAUGAGGACUUUGAAGUCAAUAAUUCUAGUGAUGUUUAAAUGCUUUAAAUGUUUCCAUUUUAGAGUUACAUACAGCUUAAUGCUUUUAGAUUCUUAUUGUAUCAUAGUUUAUAGGUAAGCAGAAAGCACUUUUGCAGUAAGAGAAAUAUGAAUAUAAAUGCAUGAUCAGCAGAUGUUAGUAGAGAAUGCAAACCUUAGUCCUGAGCUUUCACGCUAGACAUUUUCAAUAUCAUUAAGUUGAAGCAAACAAUUUGACAACUGCCUCCUCUCUCAGCAGUGUUAAGAAUUAAUCUUGCUCGCGUGUUAGUAUCAUAGGAAAAGUUUUUCUAUCAGCGGAGAGGCUCCAUUGAUGUUGAGUAUUUAUUACCUAUAGAUAGAAAUCAUUUCUUUAUCAACAUACAAUAACAUGUUCUUGUCGAAAGUACUCAUAGAAUUCAAUCAAAGUUCUUUUCUUUCUUUCUUGCAACAAUGAUAUUUAGAUAUAUUUUCAAUACACCACACAAAAGUUCAAUAUUACGAGAUUAUAAGAAUUAGCAGAAGCAUUCUAAGCAAUCAACAAAUCAAAUAAGACGUGAAUUCAAAAUAGAGCAUUUGAUCACUUUCUUGGUGAUAUCUAUGCUUGCUAAACUUCAACUACUAGUGUAGGUAUUCAUAUCUUUUCUAUACUUAACCAAUUCAUCAGAAAAUAUGUACAUAUAUACUGCAAUUGCAGAUACGUACAUAAUCAUAUAAGCGAGUAUAAGCACUUGCACAGUUGCAAAGGCUUCUCUGUCUCACUUCCCCAUUAUUGUGUAUUGGGCAUGAUAUCAAACACUGCAUGCCAUUUGGACGGAGAAUAGUUUAGCUGUAAGGAACAAGAUGAAAUUCUACAUCUGAUGUCCUCUCCUACAGUUUGCAAAUUAUAUGAAUUUGCUACUGAGAUUAGUAAUGUGGAAGUGGCCAAAAGGUGCAGCAGAAAAAGAGAGAGAAUGGCUUGCUACAUACAUCAUUCCCAUUUAUAACAUAGCUUGUAAUUGCGAAAAAUCGAAAGAGACAUCGACAAGUAUCCAAAAAAUCGGAGCAAAAUACCUAGAAUCGUCAGUAACCUCCAUGAAAUAUGCUAAAAAAAAUCUUGUAGGUUUGGUCAAAUUUAGGUCAGAUAAGCUUGCACGGAAAUUGGGGAAGUAGUGCAUUCUCGUAUGUUUUCAUCAAAUGUAGCUCACAUGAGCUUGUGUUCUGAGAGAAAGGGAAAGUAUACUUCAUUCUAGAAGAGAAUUUACAAUUAGCAGAAAAGGACAUAUGUUAAUUUCCUAGGUGGCAUUUGAUCGUGAUUUAUGUUUGGUUUUCGGAGAAUUUUGGCUAUGGCUGAGAAAACUUUGCAAUAUUUUGGAUUUGGUUUCGCAAAUAAUAUUUUG